UUUCCGUAGGUGAACCUGCGGAAGGAUCAUUACUGAGUGAGGGCCCUCUGGGUCCAACCUCCCACCCGUGUUUAUUGUACCUUGUUGCUUCGGUGAGCCCGCCUCACGGCCGCCGGGGGGCAUCUGCCCCCGGGCCCGCGCUCGCCGGAGACACCCUUGAACUCUGUCUGAAGUUUGCAGUCUGAGCGAAAACUAAAUAAGUUAAAACUUUCAACAACGGAUCUCUUGGUUCCG
rnacentral:misc_RNA from 1 species